rnacentral:rRNA from 1 species
AUUGAACGCUGGCGGCAUGCCUUACACAUGCAAGUCGAACGGUAACAGGUCUUCGGAUGCUGACGAGUGGCGAACGGGUGAGUAAUACAUCGGAACGUGCCUAGUAGUGGGGGAUAACUACUCGAAAGAGUGGCUAAUACCGCAUGAGAUCUACGGAUGAAAGCAGGGGAUCGCAAGACCUUGUGCUACUAGAGCGGCCGAUGGCAGAUUAGGUAGUUGGUGGGAUAAAAGCUUACCAAGCCGACGAUCUGUAGCUGGUCUGAGAGGACGAUCAGCCACACUGGGACUGAGACACGGCCCAGACUCCUACGGGAGGCAGCAGUGGGGAAUUUUGGACAAUGGGCGCAAGCCUGAUCCAGCAAUGCCGCGUGCAGGAUGAAGGCCUUCGGGUUGUAAAGGACUUUUGUCCGGGAGCAAAUACCCAGUGCUAAUAACGCUGGGGGCUGAGAGUACCGGAAGAAUAAGCACCGGCUAACUACGUGCCAGCAGCCGCGGUAAAAC